rnacentral:misc_RNA from 1 species
GAUGAAGAACGCAGCGAAAUGCGAUAAGUAGUGUGAAUUGCAGAAUUCAGUGAAUCAUCGAAUCUUUGAACGCACAUUGCGCCCGGCAGUAAUCUGCCGGGCAUGCCUGUCCGAGCGUCAUUUCACCCCUCGAGCCGCUUUUAGUGGAUCGGUGUUGGGGCACUACGGUAAAACGUAGGCCCUGAAAUGAAGUGGCGGUCCCGCCGCGGUGCCCCCAUGCGUAGUAACGUUUAGUCUCGCAUCGGGUCCCGGCGGAGGCCUGCCGUCAAGCCUAUUUAUUCUCAGAAUAGUUUGACCUCGGAUCAGGUAGGGUUACCCGCUGAACUUAAGCAUAUCAAUAAGCGGAGGA